rnacentral:lncRNA from 1 species
UGUCAUGUGCGGACGCACAUAUGCCAGGCACAGACGCGCCCGCAACGUGCGUCGCACAACUGAUCACGCUGGGCAGGUUCUAAUCCAAUUAGUAGUAAGUAUUUUCUUUUUUAUUUAAUAGUCUCUGACUAUCAUUAAAUAAAGGGUAGAGCAAUUCUUUUUUCUAGAGAUUCUAGAGAAAGUGAGACAAAGUGAAGCGAAAGAGUUUUCUUUGUAUAAGAAUUAGGUCUAUAUCAUAUCUAAAUAGAAGGGAAAUCAAAAAGAAGGGAAGUGGUGGGUUAGCCUCUAGUGGCUAAAGAUAUAAACUUAGAUUAGUAAGUUGUUUUGAAAAUCCCUAGAAUCAAGGAGAGUUUUGGAAAUCCCUAGAAUCAAGGAGAGCCUUCUCCAUUUCGGUUGGGCCAUUGGCUAUAUAUGCUUGUAAUCGCUUGACAAUCAAUUAAGGAAGAAUUAUAUCCUUAAUCUCUCUCUGUGUGUGUUAAACCUGCGGUUGAGGGGGGGAUAACCUCACUGGAGAGGACGACAGAUGGCUACGAGCUGCGUAGCCACGGUCCGGCUAGUCGGGGGCUCGACGCCCUUGACAUCAAAUAGUUUGUGGAUAAAACUAAAAACGAUCCAAAAAAUAAAAUAUGGAAGAGCACAUCUAUGAAAAAAAGGACAGAUGAAUGGAAAUUUUCAGACACAUGUAAAAACAGACAAGUGAGGAGCUUUGGGUUAUCUUACAAAGCACUUGGUGAAUGGACCCCCAGUAUGAAGGGUCUCCUUAAGGAUGGAGUUUGUAUUAACAAUGCUCUUCAAAAUAACUGUAAUGCUGUCUUCGUUGCUGCAAUAAGCAAGGCAACUCAUGAUCACAAGGUUAUUCUGAAUCACCAAACUAAAAUGAGGAUAAACAUAGUAGCUCUUAAGAAAUAGAAGGCAAACCUUGUUCUACUAUUACCAACAACAACAGAAGGCCGUAUAGGAACAGGUGGCACUGCAAUCUCUGUCACAAUAAGUUUCUCUGGCCUAUCACCAAGGUUUAGUAAUUCACAAUCCUGCAGAAAAAUGAAAAAAGAGUAAACUUUUGUCAACAAAACUGCGACAAGUUCAAAUUGCAAAAUAGCAUCUAAUGUGAGGCAACCAAUGUGGCUUGGGGCAACUUGUUAGAUAGGUUUAAUGUUUUCUCCAGCUCACUUGCCUGUCCUAGUGUUAUUGAGCACUAAAACAGGGAGUAGCAGAACACAUCAAAUGGUCCUUCUUCACUUAAGACCCUUGAAGGAUGAAAAUUGGCACCAACCUCAUCAAUCAUUCUUCUGAAUAGAGAUAGAACAGUUGCAGGGUCUAACACUAGAACUGAACUAGCAGACACCUUUUCUUUCUUAUUUUGUAGUGCAUUCUUCAAUUCUUCUGUAUGUCCAUCCAAAACUUUGCUACAAUCAUGAACUACUAUCAAGCCCGCUCUGCCUUUUUUAACUACACCUGUUUUUACAACAAAAACAGGAAAGAGUUGACUGUUGAGCGAUUUCUUGCAAAUGUUAGCUUACAAACAACAGUCAGGUAUCAGUAGUGACAUUACAAGGUAAAAUUAUUAUGGACAAUAUAGGAUGGCUUACCAUUUCUGUAAUCACAACGGGGGCAGCAGGAUAGUUUGCAUUUGUCCCUCACUUUUUUCAUUGUAGCACUUUUCUGUAGUGCAUCUGCCCUGGGAUUUCUCAUCUUCUUUAGAAACUCCCUGCGGUCUUUCUCGAUAAGAAGAACUCUACUACAGCUCUGGAAAGGCAUGAGGGAACGAGAAUAAUUAACAAGUCAGAGUUCAAGUGUUCAGCCCACCCAUGAUGUAAACUUCUUCAUGGCAGUACCUUGCAGAUGCACUUCAACACGUCCAGAAUACAGUUAAAGAAGCCCACGUUAAAAACUGGAAGCGCGAGCUUCAAGUAGCCGAAAUGACCUGGACAGUCACUAAAUUCACCAUGGCAGGUAUUGCAUUUGCCUCUCUUAGUCGGGAUUCCCUGAAAUUUGACACGGGAAAAAUAAGUUGCAACAACUUGAACGAUGCCACAAACGCACGUUUAUGUUAGAACUCCCAUCUUCAAAUCAUCAAUGAAAAUACACAUGACGAAACAGCAAUACCGAGCGGGGCAUUACCAUUCGCGGGUCGAGCAACCCAUUGGGAACCGGCGUCAUGUCGCGGUCAUAGAUCCGGUUGUUCCAGACCUGUACCUCCGCUGACUUGCGAAUCUCGCUGCCCGAGAGCACGCUGAACCGGAUGCUCUUUCUGACAUCAAAAGCAACCAAACGUAACAGGGAAGCGGCAGAGUAAGUGUAAUCGUCGAGCUACGAUUCAUUAAACGGGACGCGAGCCGCAUGCUUACAUCCUCCGGGUGCCGACGUCCUCGAUGAAGGGUUCCUUGGUGCAGCGCAGCUUCUCCUCCGGCUUCGCCAUCACUUGAUGCGUUGCUCUGUACGGAUUAGAGUAGGGACUAGGUAUGCUGGGGAGUGAAGGGCGGCGGGCGGCGGGAGACGAGCACCGUAGUUUCGUCUCGAGCCGCCGCCGGCUAUUCUCCGGCGAGGAGUCCUCUGCACAGAAAGCGGAGGUGGAAGCAGCUUAGGCGGCGGCGGCGGCGGCGCGGGAGACCUAGAUCACUUUUACCUUACUGAUGACUUAAAUAAGUAAGGGUAAACUGAUAUUAUAUAUUGUCCCGUUCAAAUUUAUAAAAACAUUUGACUUUUUUUCUUUAAAUUUAAAUUUAAUAUAAAAAUCAGAGAUUAUUUAAACUGAUAUUAUAUAUUGUCUCGUUCUCAAAUAUUGUGAAUCAAAAACAAGUCAACACGAUUAUCAAACAUUAAGGACAUUUGUCUUUGAAAUAUUAUCUCCUCUCGGAUAUAAUGAUCUCCAGACGAAGAUCAUUGAUGACACGUCUUCAUGGUUCAUAAGAGUUUAUAUGCAUGAGUUGUUUUAUCCAUUAAUAUAUUUAUUCCAUGAUAAACAUAUAAAUAUUAUUAGAAUUUAUAUUACAUUGAUAUCUUCGGCUUGUUUGAAGGUGAUAACACGAGAGCAAUUACAAUCCAACGUGAACAGUAUGAGGGUACUGUUCAUCUAUUUAUAGGCAACUAUAAAAGUUUGUGUGCUAUUACAUUUAUGCCCUCGACAAUUACAUACAGAGUUUGCAAAAUGUUACAAGAGCAGUAUCGUCAUUUGUAUUUACUAACUUGAGCAACACCUUCUCCUCAUGUUGUAUAUCUGUUUCACCGUGAUGAAGCAUGUUGGACGAAGCUCACUUCGCUCCUCUUGUGUUAUGUCGAAGCUUUUCUGGUGACGAAGCUCUUGUAAUAUCUAAUAGUAUAUUGAAAGCAAAUGGUUAACCGCGUUUUUGACGACCUUUAGAAGAGGAAGGCCCCCAACAAUAACAUCGCUUGCAUUGCUAGGCAAACAAGGAAAACUGCUACUCUGUCCCGCCUAACCUAAGAGAUGGAUUAGUAUUAGGAAGAUUCAAUUCAAAAUACACAAAUAGUCGUUGAACACAUCACAACAACAAAAAAAAUAAUGAAUUUUAGCUAAAACACUCGUACUAUAAAAGUACACACAAUUAGUAGUACUAGUGUUGCACCGACUAAAUAGCUAUGAUAGAGAUGACCAUUAUUAAUCUAAUAAGAGUACAAAUUUCAAAUGUUGAAUGGCUAGACCACCUCUCUUGGUUUUGUGUUGCUGCAUGUUCUGAACUUUUUCCAUUGUAGAGGCAACAUGAAUAGUCGCUCAUCGACUCUUCAUAAUUGACUCUUCAUAAUUGUAGCAUCGCUUGCAUUGCUAGGCAACAAGGAGAAAUUGUUGCUCUAUCCAACCUAGCAUAAGAGAUGGAUUAGCAUUAGGAAGAUUCAAUUCAAAAUACACAAAUAGUCGUUGAACACAUCACAACAAAGAUAUUAGUGAAUUUUAGCUAAAGCACAUGUAUUAGUGGCUACCAGGGGCACUAUGGAAGUAGAGCCUAUUUUUUCUGAAAUUGCAACUCUGGUUCAUCAGUUGUCUGUUGUUCCUCACUAGAAAUCUGAAAUUUUGUUCAUUACAUAUAGCAAAGAUCAUGCAAACAGGACACCUGACUGCGAACACAAGGUUGACUUGUCCCUUGUGAUUCGGGUUGAUGAUGAUUGAUUGUCAGCGGGUAGCACUACAGGGUAGUCAGUGGACUGACCAGAGUGUGAGAUUAUGUUUGUGCAACCAUUUCGGUCGUCUUGUGGUGUGCAGGUGUGGAGCAUAGGGAUGGUGGUCAACGACUGAUGUGAAGGUCAUGCAGACUCGUCCUGAUGGACCGAGAGCGGUGAAGGCGAGUGUUGGGUCUUGACUGACGGACCAGAGCAGCCGGGUGACCAGUCGCGGUGGCUGACACCUAGGACACUGAAAGGGAAAUGUGCCCUUGGAUCAUUUCUAUAAAUAUUUUAGUGAUUAGAUGUUGAACACAUAUUGUUUUGUGCUAAGUGUCAAAGAGAUGCAAAUGGAAAAACAAGGUAUGACUCUAGCCUUAGUAAAUUGUUUUUGGUACUAACAUAUUCUUCUAAGUGCUAGAAACCUUGGCAAAUCGAGAGAAAUCAGAUUGGGGAACUCGCAUCAGCCUACGUUACACCGGACUGUCUAGUGUGCACCGGGCAGUGUCCGGUGCCCAGGCUGACGCGCCGGCAAACAGGCAGCUCUCGGGAUAAACUCAGCGUGCCACAACUAUAGUUCACCGGACUGUCCGGUGAGUCAGCCGCACCCACGCCAACGGGCAGCCACGCGAUCAGCGGGCGACACGUGGACUUCACCAAUGGUCGAAUGGUCACACCGGACUGUCAUGUGUGCCACCAGACUGUCCGGUGUGCCACGAGGGUCGAUGGCUGCAACGGUCGGCUUCACCAGAAAAGGAAGGAAAUCGUGCACUAUUCACUGUUUGGUGAUGCACCGGACUGUCAGGUGUGCCCACGGACAGAAGGCAACAAUGGCCUUCCAAAAUGGAGCUCCAACGGCUCCUAGCUUCCUUGGGGCUAUAAAAGGGACCCCUAGGCGUAUGGAGCAGGACACCAAGCCUCCAUUGAACAUCCUAAGACGCCUAGACCCCACAAACACGCAUUCGACUCAUUGUGUUUGAGAUCUUAGCACUUUUCUGAGUUGUGACUCUGUUGCGCUAUGUUGUGUACUCGAUUCUUGACUUGUGUGCGUGUUAUUACUACGACUCUAGCUCUUAUGUGUGUUUAUUUUCCCUCCCUUACUCUUGUGGUUGAAUUGUGAUCAAUCUUGUAAGGGUGUGAAAGGGAAAUAGGGUUAACCUUUUCCCGGUAUUAAUUUUGGUGGUUGAAUGCCCAACACAAAUAUUGGACUAACUAGUUUGCUCUAGAGUAUAUGAUCUACAGGUGCAUAAAGGUUCAACACAAACCAAUAAAAGAUUGAAGAUAGGGUUCAAAUACAAAGGAGCAAAGGAACCGAGAGUGCCCUGGUCUGGCGCACCGGACUGUUCGGUGUGCCACCGGACAGUGUCCGGUGCACCAGGACCAUACAAUCCCAAACCAGCCACUCUCGGGUUUUCGCCAGCGCGCUCCACUAUAAUUCACCGGACUGUCCGGUGUGCCACCGGACUGUCCAGUGUACCAGCGGAGUAACGGCUAUCCAGCGCAACAGUCGACUGCAACGUCGCCUGACAUCGCUAAAGUGAAGAACAGUGUGCGCGCAGAGUCAGAGGCGCACCGGACAGUGAACAGUGCCUGUCCGGUGCGGCACCGGACUGUCCGGUGCCACUAGAAGACAAAGCCUCCAACGAUUGACUGCUCUCGAACCCUAACGGUUGGGUGACGUGGCUGGCGCACCAGACUGUCCGGUGCGCCCAUCGACAGCAGCCUGCCCCAACGGUCAAAUUGGUGGUUUAGGGCUAUAAAUACCUCCCAACCACCACCACUCCAACCAUCCAAACAUUCCACACAUUGCAUUCAAUACAAGAGCGAUAGACUUCACUCCAAGACACAAAUCAAAGCAAUCGAUCCACUCGAAGUCCCAAAUUCAACUCUAGCGCAUUAGGGCUUGUGAGAGGAUCACUUGUGUUUCUUGUUGCUCUUGUUUGCUUGGUUGGCUUUCUUUUCUUUUCAUUUGUUACUCUCAAGUGCUUUGUAAGCAAGGCAAGAGACACCAAUUGUGUGGUGGUCCUUGCAGGGUCUAAGUGACCCGUGAGAAGUAAGAAGAAAGCUCAUUCGGUCUAAGUGACCGUUUGAGAGAGGGAAAGGGUUGAAAGAGACCCGAUCUUUGUGACCACCUCAACGAGGACUAGGUUCUUUAGAACUGAACCUCGGUAAAACAAAUCACCGUGUUCAUCCACUUUAUUUUUUUGGUUGAUUUGUUUUUCCCUAUCUUUCGAACUCGAAUUUAAUUCUAACGCUAUCCCCGGCUUGUAGUGUGCGCUUAAGUUUAUAAUUUUCAGAUUCCGCCUAUUCACCCCCCUCUAGGCGACUUUCAAUUGGUAUCAGAGCCUGGCGGUUCAUUAGAGUCUAACAACUCGAAGUGAUGUCGGGAGGAUCCGCCAAGAGGGAGAUAGAAACCGGCGAGAAGGCCACAAGCCAUGGGAAGGCUCCAUCAAGGGAGUCUGGCACCAAAGCCAAAGAGGGAUCCCCUCUCCACGUCAAGUCGCAUCGGAGUGGCGACAAGAAGAAGAAGAUGAAGAAAGUGGUCUACUACGAGACCGAUUCUUCGUCGCCCUCCACAUCCGGCUCCGACACGCCGUUCGUCACUUCUAAGCGCCAUGAGCGCAAGAAGUUUAGUAAGAUCCCCUUACGCUAUCCACGCAUUUCCAAACGCACUCCUUUACUUUCCGUCCCACUAGGCAAACCACCGGUCUUUAACGGUGAAGAUUAUUGUAUGUGGAGUGAUAAAAUGAGGCACCAUCUAACCUCACUCCACGCUAGCAUUUGGGAUAUUGUUGAGUUUGGUGCGCAGGAACCAUCCGUGGGGGAUGAAGGCUAUGAUUCGGACGAGGUAGCCCAAAUCCAACACUUCAACUCCCAAGCCACUACUAUACUCCUCGCCUCUCUAAGUCGAGAGGAGUAUAAUAAGGUACAAGGGUUGAAGAGUGCCAAAUAGAUUUGGGACAUGCUCAAGAUCGCGCACGAAGGAGACGAGGUGACCAAGAUCACCAAGCGAGAGACGAUCGAGGGGGAGCUCGGUCGAUUCAUGCUUUACCAAGGGGAGGAGCCACAAGCCAUGUAUAACCGGCUCAAGACCUUGGUGAACCAAGUGCGCAACCUCGGGAGCACCAAAUGGGAUGACCAUGAGAUGGUCAAGGUUAUUCUUAGAUCACUCGUUUUCCUUAACCCUACUCAAGUUCAAUUAAUUCGUGGUGAUCCAAGAUAUAAACUAAUGUCUCCCGAGGAAGUGAUAGGAAAGUUUGUGAGCUUUGAGCUAAUGAUCAAAGGCUCCAAACAAAUCAUUGAGCGAGGCGCCUCCUCCACACCCGAGGUACAACCCGUCACAUUCAAGGCGACAGAGGAGAAGAAAGAAGAGUCUACAUCAAGUAGACUCCCCAUCGACGCCUCCAAACUCGACAACGAGGAGAUGGCGCUCAUCAUCAAGAGCUUCCACCAAAUCCUCAAGCAAAGGAGGGGGAAUGAUUACAAACCCCGCUCCAAGAAGGUUUGCUACAAAUGUGGUAAGCCUGGUCAUUUCAUUGCUAAAUGUCCAUUAUCAAGUGAUAGUGACAGGGGCGAUGACAAGAAGGGAAGAAGGAAGGAGAAGAAGAAGUAUUACAAGAAGAAGGGCGGCGAUGCCCAUGUUUGCCGGGAGUGGGACUCCGAUGAGAGCUCCACCGACUCCUCCUCCGACGAGGAUGUCGCAAACAUCGCCGUCAACAAGGGUCUCCUCUUCCCCAACGUCGGCCACAAGUGCCUCAUGGCAAGGGACGACAAAACGAAGGUAAAAUCUAGAGCCUCCACUAAAUAUGCAACAUCUAGUGAUGAGGAGAACUCUAGUGAUGAUGAGGAUAAUUUAGUUGCCCUUUUUGCCAACCUAAAUAUGCAACAAAAGGAAAAAUUAAAUGAAUUGAUAGGUGCUAUUCAUGAGAAGGAUGAACUCUUGGAUAGCCAAGAGGACUUCCUAAUUAAGGAAAAUAAGAAGUAUGUUAAGGUUAAGAAUGCUUAUGCUCAGGAGAUAGAAAAAUGUGAGAAAUUGACUAAUGAGCUUAGCACUUGCCAUGAUAUCAUAUCCAACCUUAGAAAUGAUAAUGCCAAAUUAAUUGCUAAGGUUGAGAAGUUAAAUGUUUGUGAUGAUUCUUUUGCCAAUCUUAAAAAUGAUAAUGCUAGUUUACUUGCUAAGAUUGACAAAUUAAAUGAAUCAAUUUCUAGCCUUAAAACUGAGAAUGACAAAUUAAUUGCUAAGGCUAAGAAUUUAAAUGUUUGCAAUGAUAUUGUUUCAAAUCUUAGAAAUGAAAAUGUCAUGUUACAUGCUAAGAUUGAUGAGUUUAAUGUUUGCAAACCCUCUACAUCUAUCAUUGAGCAUGUAUCUAUUUGCACUAGAUGUAGAGAUGUUAAUGUCGAUGCUAUCCAUGAUCACAUUGCUAUGAUUAAACAACAAAAUGAUCACAUAGCAAAAUUAGAUGCUAAAAUUGUCGAGCAUGAAUUAGAGAAUGAAAAAUUUAAAUUUGCUCGUAGUAUGCUUUAUAGUGGGAGACGCCCUGGCAUUAAGGAUGGCAUUGGCUUCCAACAGGGAGGCAAUGUCAAGCUUAAUGCCCCUAAGAAAUUGCCUAAUUUUGUUAAGGGCAAAGCUCCCAUGGCUCAGGAUAACGAGGGUUACAUUUUAUACCAUGCCGGUUAUCCCGAGCACAAAAUUAGGAGAAUUCACUCUAGGAAGUCUCACUCUGGCUCUAAUCAUGCUUUUAUGUAUAAGAGUGAGGCAUCUAGCUCUAGGCAAUCAACCCAUGUUAAAUUACCUAAAAAGAAAUCUCCUAUAGCAUCAAAUGAACCUAAUAUUUCAUUUAAGACUUUUGAUGCUUCUUAUGUGCUCACUAACAAAUCAGGCAAAGUAGUUGCCAAAUAUGUUGGGGUCAAACACAAGGGAUCGAAGACUUGUGUUUGGGUACCCAAGGUGCUUGUUUCUAAUGUGAAAGGACCCAAGACCAUUUGGGUACCUAAGAACAAGGCCUAAAUUUGUUUUGUAGGUUUAUGCAUCCGGGGGCUCAAGUUGGAUCAUUGAUAGCGGGUGCACAAACCACAUGACUGGGGAGAAAAGGAUGUUCUCCUCCUAUGAGAAAAAACAUGAUCCCCAAAGAGCUAUCACAUUCGGGGAUGAAAAUCAAGGUUUGGUCAAAGGACUUGGUAAAAUUGCUAUAUCACCUGACCAUUCCAUUUCCAAUGUUUUUCUUGUAGAUUCUUUAGAUUAUAACUUGCUUUCAGUUUCUCAAUUAUGCAAAAUACGCUACAAUUGUAUUUUUAGGGAUAUAGGUGUUACUGUCUUUAGAAGAAGUGAUGAUUCAGUAGUGUCGGCAUUUCAAACCCGGGGGGUCCCUGGACCGACGAGUAAAUUAUCGCCGCGUGCCCCAGUCCAGAUGGAUCGGCGCGAGACGGAGCGCGAAGGGGGGAAGCAGCCGGAGGGAGACAGGCGUGAGAGGUGAAAUCCCGCGGCCUUCGUGUUUGUCCUGCGCCCAGGUCGGGUGCACUUGCAGUAGGGGGUUACAAGCGUCCACGCGGGAGGGAGCGAGCGGCCUUGCGCGAGCGCCGUCCCGUCCUUCCCCAUGCGGCCAACCCUCUCUAAGAGGGCCCUGAACCUUCCUUUUAUAGGCGUAAGGAAAGGAUCCAGGUGUACAAUGGGGGGUGUAGCAGUGUGCUAACAUGUCUAGCGGAGGAGAGCUAGCGCCCUAAGUACAUGCCAUCGUGGCAGCCGGAGAGGUUUCGGCACCCGGUUGGUGUGGUGUCGUGGCCGUCGGAGGAGCGUUGGAGCCUGGCGGAAGGACAACUGUCGGGGCUGUCGGGUCCUUGCUGACGUCCUCUUGCUUCCGUAAGGGGGCUGAGAGCCGCCGUCGUCAUAGAACAUGCGGGGCGCCAUCAUUACUUGUCUGGCGAAGCGAGCCAGAUGGGACACCGGUCCUGUUCCCCGUAGCCUGAGUCAGCUUGGGGUAGGGUAAUGAUGGCGCCUCCUGUGACGUGGUCGGUCCGAGCCCUGAGUUGGGCGAGGUGGAGGCUCCUCCGAGGUCGAAGUCGAGUCUGUCUUCCGAGGCCGAAGUCGAGUCCGAGCCCCUGGGUCGGGCGAGGCGGAGACCGUCGGCUGAGGCCAGGGCUGAGUCCGAGCCCUGGGGUCGGGCGAAGCGGAGUUCGUCUCUUCCGGGGCUGAGCCCGAGUCCGAGCCCUGGGGUCGGGCGAAGCGGAGUUCGUUUCUUCCGGGGCUGAGCCCGAGUCCGAGCCCUGGGGUCGGGCGAAGCGGAGUUCGUCAUCUUCUGGGGCUGAGCCCGAGUCCGAGCCCUGGGGUCGGGCAAAGCGGAGUUCGUCGUCUUCCGGGGCUGAGCCCGAGUCCGAGCCCUGGGGUCGGGCGAAGUGGAGUUCGUCGUCUUCUGGGGCUGAGCCCGAGUCCGAGCCCUGGAGUCGGGCAAAGCAGAGUUUCCUAUGGCGCCUGAGGCCGGACUUGGCUGCUGUCAGCCUCACUCUGUCGAGUGGCACGGUAGUCGGAGCGGCGCAGGCGGCGCUGUCCUCUUGUCAGGCCUGUCAGUGGAGCGGCGAAGUGACUACGGUCACUUCGGCUCUGUCAACUGGAGGACGCGCGUCAGGAUAAAGGUGUCAGGCCACCUUUGCAUUAAAUGCCCCUACGAUUUGGUCGGUUGGCGUGGCGAUUUGGUCAAGGUUGCUUCUUGGUGAAGACUGGGCCUCGGGCGAGCCGAAGGUGUGUCCGUUGCUGGAGGGGGUCCUCGGGCGAGACGUAGAUCCUCCGGGGUCGGCUGCCCUUGCCCGAGGCUGGGCUCGGGCGAGGCGGGAUCGUGUCCCUUGAAUGGACCGAUCCUUGACUUAAUCGCACCCAUCAGGCCUUUGCAGCUUUGUGCUGAUGGGGGUUACGAGCUGAGAUUUAGGAGUCUUGAGGGUACCCCUAAUUAUGGUCCCCGACAGUAGCCCCCGAGCCUCGAAGGGAGUGUUAAUACUCGCUUGGAGGCUUUUGUCGCACUUUUUUGCAAGGGGACCAGCCUUUCUCGGUUGCGUCUUGUUCUGGUGGGUGCGCGCGAGCGCACCCGCCGGGUGUAGCCCCCGAGGCCUCGGAGGAGUGGUUUGGCUCCUUCGAGGUCUUAAUGCAUUUUGUAAUGUUUCGGCAGGUCUGGUCGUUCCCUCAUGCGAGCUGGCCGUAGCCCGGGUGCACGGUCGGGUCCCAAGUUCUCGGGCUGGUAUGUUGACGCUGUCAACGGUUUGGCCGGAGCCGAGUUUGCGAGAGCAGCCCCCGAGCCUCCGCACAGGGCGAGAGGAUGGUCAAGGACAGACUCGACUUUUUUACAUACGCCCCUGCGUCGCCUUUCCACAAGGAGGAGGGGGAGAGCUCCAUGUUGCCCUUGGAGGGCGCCGAACAUGGUGUCUCCAGCGAGCUGCUGACGGGUAAUCCGAGUGGACGCCCGUGCCCCAUUUGUUAGGGGUCGGCUAGAGGCCCGGAGGCGCGCUCCAAAAGUACCUGCGGGUGAUCUUCCGGACCCGGUCCCCUUUUGAUGGGGUCCGAGGGCUCGAUGCCUCCCUCUGAUGGGAUUCCGUUACAAGAUCGUUCCCGCUGGUCUCGGAAAUGUCCUAGGGUACCUCGGGAGCGUAGCCCGAGCCUUGGUUAUGUAUCGAACGUACCCAGGGUCAUCCCUCGCUCUGCGUCUGAGGCGGCUGUGAACCCUUCGUGGGCCAGCCUACGAACCCCUAAUCAGUAGUGGGCGCGGAGCCCGAGUGGCCUGAGGCGGCCGUUGAACCCUUCCGAGGGGCCGGCCCUCGAACCUCUGACCAGUAGUGGGCGCGGAGCCCGAGCGCUCUGAGGCGGCUGUUGAACCCCUCUGAGGGGCCAGCCUUCGAACCUCUGAUCAGUAGGGGGGCUCGGGGUCCGUUUCCUUCGCGGAGAAGGAUCCCUUUCGGGGUAUCCCCCUUUCCCGGUCCCUGUUGUAAGAGAGAGAAAGAGGAAAGGGGAGAGAAUACGAAAUCGAGAUGAUGUGGCGCACCUUUUUGACGCGGUCAUUAUGGCGAAGGCGAAGCGUCGCUCGCUUCUCCUGCCAAAGGCGCCGCCUGUCCCGCCGCGGAGUUAAUGCGACGGGGUGAGUGGUUUGCGGGGCAGCCGUUGCGCGUGCGCGGUCCGUUCGAGGAACGGAACACGGGCGCGUCGUCUUCACACCGUGAGAGAGGGUUCUCUCGCUGUCCCACGAGGUGACGUGAGCUUGGCUGACGACGUGACCGCUGCUUCUGCCCGCCUGCCACCGCCAUUACUGCCGGCCCAUUUUUGGCUGCAUCGACCGUCUCGCCUUCUCCUGCGGCUGACUGGCCCGUGACCGAUGCGUCUGGCUAGCACUGUUGGGUCGUACGCAGAGUUGCCUCGAGUCGCGGUACUAGUUCCGCAGUCGAGGAGGCGCGGUAGUGGCACGAGUGGCGGUGCAGUUGCUCGCACGUAGCAACCGGCGCGCCGGUUGCAUGACGUGUGAGCCUAGGCCUCCAUGCUGGGCGCGUUGGAGUCGAAGGGGUGCGCCCACUUGGCGCGGUUGCAUGCCGACUGCAUGGUUGUCCGCCCUUUCACCCGCUGGUCUGGGCGAAAGUGGAGGAAUGCUUGUAACCGCUGGGCAGUUGCGUGUACCGCGCGCGGCGGUUUGGCUUCUUCUGCCCUGGGCCAGCUUGCAUGACGCGUGGGACCCAGCCCCCGUGUCGUAGGGGGAGGACCUUGGAGCGUGUUGGAGAAGACUCAGCCCUUGAUGGCUGAGGACGCAGGUGGGAAGAGUCGCCUUUAAAAGGAGGGUGAUCCCCUUGAAAGGCGACCAUGUCUUCGCACUCCCUUAUGCAUCGCGUCUUUCCACCUUCCGAGCCCCCGGAUGGGGAACACCCGCAAUCCUUCCACCUUGUCGUUGGAGGAACGCAACUUCGUGGAAGUUGGUACCUUUCAGCCAUCGUUCGGUUUCAAGGAUUUUCAUUAUGCAGCCCGGCCGCAUCCCCUCGCCGGCGGUCACCCAAGACGGUGACCACCAGCCCCUGGGUGGGGAGAAGCAAGCCGGGCUGCGAUCUUGGUCCCGCCCUCAGCUUCAAGGAUGUUCAUCAUCCUUGCUGGGGCGGAGGCCGGGCUGAGCCGGAGCUCUACCUCCCGCGCGGGUUCGUCGGUCAGCCUCUCCUUCAGCAUUUUUGGCACGGAGCCUGAACAUGUAUGUAUUUAUUUUUGGCACGGAGCCUGAACAUGCAAUGUCUUGUUCAUUGCGGCUGUCGGGGCCUGAACAUGUAUGUAUUUUUGGCACGGAGCCGUGUUUUUUCCUCAUUUUGAGCACUAAGACUCGCCUGUCGACUAUCUGAACCGCUUCACCAAGCGUGAGUCGCCUCGUGCAAAGGUGACGAGUGAGGUAUCCGUAUCCCGGAGGCGUAGGAGUCCCUCGGCUCGGUCGGCCUUGUCGUCCGAGGCUUCUCUUGCUUAGUUAAAGGAAACCCUCGGCCGCUCUUCGAUGAGCCUGAAAGUCGCCUAGAGGGGGGGUGAAUAGGGCGAAACUGAAAUUCUAAAAAAUAAUCACAACUACAAGCCGGGUUAGCGUUAGAAAUAUGAUAGAGUCCGCGAGAGAGGGUGCAAAACAAAUCGCAAGCGAAUAAUGAAGUGAGACACACAGAUUUGUUUUACCGAGGUUCGGUUCUCUCAAACCUACUCCCCGUUGAGGAGGCCACAAAGGCCGGGUCUCUUUCAACCCUUCCCUCUCUCAAACGGUCCCUCAGACCGAGUGAGCUUCUCUUCUCAAAUCACAUGGGAAUCAAAACUUCCCGCAAGGACCACCACACACUUGGUGUCUCUUGCCUCAAUUACAAGUGAGUGUUUGAUCACAAGAAAGAAUGACAAAGAAAAGAAGCGAUCCAAGUGCAAGAGCUCAAAUGAACACUACAAAUCACUCUCACUAGUCACUAAGGCUUUGUGUGGAGUUGAGAGAGGAUUUGAUCCUUUUUGGUGUGCUUUGCAAUGAAUGCUAGCUCCUGUAUAGUGGUUGGAAGCUGGAAAACUUGGAUGCAAUGAAUGGUGAGGUGGUUGGGGUAUUUAUAGCCUCAACCACCAAACUAGCCGUUUGCAGAGGCUGUCUGUUCGAUGGCGCACCGGACAGUCCGGUGCACACCGGACAUGUCCGGUGCGACAGCCACGUCACCAAAAGCCAUUGGGUUCGACCGUUGGAGCUCUGUCUUCUGGGCCCGCCUUGAUGUCCGGUGGCGCACCGGACAUGUACUGUAGAGUGUCCGGUGCGCCAGCAUGGGCGUGCCUGACCUCUGCGCGCGCUGGCGCGCAUUUAUUACGUCGCAGGUAGCCGUUGGCGCCUGAAGUAGCCGUUACCCCGCUGUUGCACCGGACAGUCCGGUGUACACCGGACAGUCCGGUGAAUUAUAGCGGAGUGGCCGAAGUGAAUUUCCGAGACUGGCGAGUUCCGGAGGCCGCUCUUCCUUGGAGCACCGGACACUGUCCGGUGUACACCGGACAGUCCGGUGAAUUAUAGCGGAGUCGCCUCUGGAAUUUCCUGAAGGUGAGCAGUUCGGAGUUGGAGUCCUCUGGUGCAUCGGACAUGUCCGGUGGCACACCGGACAGUCCGGUGCGCCAGACCAGAGGUGCCUUCGGUUGACCCUUGUUCCUUUGUUUGAACCCAAUACUUGGUCUUUUUAUUGGCUAAGUGUGAACCUUUGGCACCUGUAUAACUUAUAUACUUGAGCAAACUAGUUAGUCUAAAUAUUUGUGUUGGGCAAUUCAACCACCAAAAUUAAUUAGGGACUAGGUGUAAGCCUAAUUCCCUUUCAAUCUCCCCCUUUUUGGUGAUUGAUGCCAACACAAACCAAAGCAAAUGUAGAAGUGCAUAAUUGAACUAGUUUGCAUAAUGUAAGUGCAAAGGUUGCUUAGAGUUGAGCCAAUAAAUAUCACUUACUAGAUAUGCAUGGAUUGUUUCUUUAUAUUAACAUUUUGGACCACGCUUGCACCACAUGUUUUGUUUUUGCAAAUUCUUUUGUGAAUCCUUUUCAAAGUUCUUUUGCAAAUAGUCAAAGAUAAAUGAAUAAGAUUUUACAAAGCAUUUUCAAGAUUUGAAAUUUUCUCCCCCUGUUUCAAAUGCUUUUCCUUUGACUAAACAAAACUCCCCCUAAAUGAGAUCCUCCUCUUAGUGUUCAAGAGGGUUUUGAUGUAUCAUUUUUGAAAUACUACUUCCUCCCCCUUUUGAACAUAAUAAGAUACCAAUUUGAAAUUGAUCAAUUGAAAAUCUCCAAUUUUAAAAAUUAGGUGGUGGUGCAGUCCUUUUGCUUUGGGCUCAUAUUUUCUCCCCCUUUGGCAUGAAUCGCCAAAAACGGAAUCAUUAGAGCCCGUAGGAGUACUUUCUCCUCCUUUGGUCAUAAAAUAAAUGAGGGAAGAUUAUACCAAAGUUGGAGAGUGAUGCGGAGCGACGGCGAAGGAUGAGUAGUAGAGUGGAGUGGAAGCCUUGUCUUCGCCGAAGACUCCAAUUCUCUUUCAAUAUAUCUAUGACUUGGUUUGAAAUAGACUUGAAAACACAUUAGUCAUAGAAAAAAGAGACAUGAUCAAAGGUAUACUCAUGAGCUAUGUGUGCAAAUUAGCAAAAGAAAUUUCUCGAAUCAAGAAUAUUGAGCUCAUGCCUAAGUUUGGUAAAGGAUUGUUCAUCAAGUGGCUUGGUAAAGAUAUCGACUAAUUGAUCUUUAGUGUUAAUGUAUGAAAUCUCGAUAUCCCCCUUUUGUUGGUGAUCCCGAAGAAAAUGAUACCGAAUGGCUAUGUGUUUAGUGCAGCUAUGCUCAACAGGAUUAUCCGCCAUGCGGAUUGCACUCUCAUUAUCACAUAGAAGGGGAACUUUGGUUAAUUUGUAACCAUAGUCCCGCAGGGUUUGCCUCAUCCAAAGCAAUUGCGCGCAACAAUGGCCUGCGGCAAUAUACUCAGCUUCGGCGGUAGAAAGAGCGACCGGAUUUUGCUUCUUUGAAGCCCAAGACACCAAGGAUCUUCCCAAGAACUGGCAAGUCCCCGAUGUGCUCUUUCUAUUAAUCUUACACCCCGCCCAAUCGGCAUCCGAAUAUCCAAUCAAAUCAAAUGUGGAUCCCCGAGGGUACCAAAGCCCAAACUUAGGAGUAUAAGCAAAAUAUCUUAAGAUUCGUUUUACGGCCGUAAGGUGGGAUUCCUUAGGGUCGGAUUGGAAUCUUGCACACAUGCAAACGGAAAGCAUAAUGUCCGGUCGAGAUGCACAUAAAUAAAGCAAUGAACCAAUCAUCGACCGGUAUACCUUUUGAUCCACGGACUUACCUCCUGUGUCGAGGUCGAGAUGCCCAUUGGUUCUCAUGGGUGUCUUGAUGGGCUUGGCAUCCUUCAUUCCAAACUUGGUUAGAAUGUCUUGAGUGUACUUUGUUUGGCUAAUGAAGGUGCCCUCUUGGAGUUGCUUGACUUGGAAUCCUAGAAAAUACUUCAACUCCCCCAUCAUCGACAUCUCGAAUUUUUGUGUCAUGAUCCUACUAAAUUCUUCACAAGUAGAUUCGUUAGUAGACCCAAAUAUGAUAUCAUCAACAUAAAUUUGGCAUACGAACAAAUCAUUGUCAAAAGUUUUAGUGAACAAAGUAGGAUCGGCCUUGCCGACUUUGAAGCCAUUAGUAAUAAGGAAAUCUCUAAGGCAUUCAUACCAUGCUCUUGGGGCUUGCUUGAGCCCAUAAAGCGCCUUAGAGAGCUUAUAGACAUGGUUAGAAUACUCACUGUCUUCAAAGCCGGGAGGUUGCUCAACGUAGACCUCUUCCUUGAUUGGUCCAUUGAGGAAGGCACUCUUCACGUCCAUUUGGUAAAGCUUGAAGCCAUGGUAAGUAGCAUAGGCCAAUAAUAUACGAAUUGACUCAAGCCUAGCUACGGGUGCAUAGGUUUCACCAAAAUCCAAACCUUCGACUUGUGAAUACCCCUUGGCCACGAGUCGAGCUUUGUUCCUUGUCACCACACCAUGCUCGUCUUGCUUGUUGCGGAAGACCCACUUGGUUCCUACAACAUUUUGAUUAGGACGUGGAACUAAAUGCCAUACCUCGUUCCUCGUGAAAUUGUUGAGCUCCUCUUGCAUCGCCAUCACCCAAUCUGAAUCUUGGAGUGCUUCCUCUACCCUGUGUGGCUCAAUAGAGGAAACAAAAGAGUAAUGCUCACAAAAAUGUGCAACAUGAGAUCGAGUGGUUACCCCCUUAUGAAUGUCGCCAAGAAUGGUGUCGACGGGGUGAUCUCGUUGGAUUGCUUGGUGGACUCUUGGGUGUGGCGGCCUUGGUUGUUCAUCCUCCUUGUCUUCAUCAUUUACAUCUCCCCCUUGAUCAUUGUCGUCAUCUUGAGGUGGCUCAUUUAUUUGAUCUUCCCUUUCAUCAACUUGAGCCUCGUCCUUAUUUUGAGUUGGUGGGGAUGCUUGCAUGGAGGAGGAUGGUUGAUCUUGUGCAUUUGGAGGCUCUUUAGAUUCCUUAGGACAUACAUCCCCAAUGGACAUGUUCCUUAGCGCGAUGCACGGUGCCUGUUCUUCACCUAUCUCAUCAAGAUCAACUUGCUCUACUUGAGAGCCAUUAGUCUCAUCAAACACAACGUCACAAGAAACUUCAACAAGUCCUGAGGACUUGUUAAAGACUCUAUAUGCCCUUGUGUUUGAGUCAUAUCCUAGUAAAAAGCCUUCUACAGUUUUAGGAGCAAAUUUAGAUUUUCUACCUCUCUUAAUAAGAAUAAAGCAUUUGCUACCAAAAACUCUAAAAUAUGAAAUAUUUGGCUUUUUACCGGUUAGGAGUUCAUAGGAUGUCUUCUUGAGGAUUCGGUGUAGAUAUAACCGGUUGAUGGCGUAGCAGGCGGUGUUGACCGCCUUGGCCCAAAACCGAUCCGAUGUCUUGUACUCAUCAAGCAUGGUUCUUGCCAUGUCCAAUAGAGUUCGAUUCUUCCUCUCCACUACACCAUUUUGUUGUGGAGUGUAGGGAGAAGAGAACUCGUGCUUGAUCCCCUCCUCCUCAAGGAAGCCUUCAAUUUGAGAGUUCUUGAACUCCGUCCCGUUGUCGCUUCUAAUUUUCUUGAUCCUCAAGCCGAACUCAUUUUGAGCCCGUCUCAAGAAUCCCUUUAAGGUUUCUUGGGUAUGAGAUUUUUCCUGCAAAAAGAACACCCAAGUGAAGCGAGAAUAAUCAUCCACAAUAACUAGACAGUACUUACUCCCACCGAUGCUUAUGUAAGCGAUCGGGCCGAAUAGGUCCAUGUGUAGGAGCUCCAGUGGCCUGUCACUAGUCAUGAUGUUUUUGUGUGGAUGAUGGGAACCAACUUGCUUUCCUGCUUGGCAUGCGCUACAAAUCCUGUCUUUCUCAAAAUGAACAUUUGUUAGUCCCAAAAUAUGUUCUCCCUUUAGAAGCUUAUGAAGAUUCUUCAUUCCAACGUGGGCUAGUCGGCGAUGCCAGAGCCAACCCAUGUUAGUCUUAGCAAUUAAGCAUGUGUCGAGUUCAGCUCUAUCAAAAUCUACCAAGUAUAGCUGACCCUCUAACACACCCUUAAAUGCUAUUGAAUCAUCACUUCUUCUAAAGACAGUGACACCUACAUCAGUAAAGAGACAAUUGUAGCCCAUUUGACAUAAUUGGGAUACGGAAAGCAAAUUGUAAUCUAAAGAAUCUACAAGAAAAACUUUGGAAAUGGAAUGGUCAGGAGAUAUAGCUAUUUUACCCAAACCUUUGACCAAACCUUGGUUUCCAUCCCCGAAUGUGAUAGCUCGUUGGGGAUCUUGGUUUUUCUCAUAUGAGGAGAACAUCUCUGACCAAACCUUGGUUUCCAUCCCCGAAUGUGAUAGCUCGUUGGGGAUCUUGGUUUUUCUCAUAUGAGGAGAACAUCUUCUUCUCCCAUGUCAUGUGGUUUGUGCACCCGCUGUCGAGUAUCCAACUUGAGCCCCCCGGAUGCGUAAACCUACAAAACAAUUUUAGUUCUUGACUUUAGGUACCCAAACGGUUUUGGGUCCUUUGGCAUUAGAAACAAGAACUUUGGGUACCCAAACACAAGUCUUGGAGCCCUUGUGAUUGCCCCCAAUAAACUUGGCAACUACUUUGCCGGAUUUGUUAGUCAAAACAUAAGAUGCAUCAAAAGUUUUAAAUGAAAUGCUAUGAUCAUUUGAUGCAAUAGGAGUUUUCUUUCUAGGCAACUUAGCACGGGUUGGUUGCCUAGAGCUAGAUGUCUCACCCUUAUACAUAAAAGCAUGGUUAGAGCCAGAGUGAGACUUCCUAGAAUGAGUUCUCCUAAUUUUGCUCUCGGGAUAACCGGCAGGGUACAAAAUGUAACCCUCGUUAUCCUGAGGCAUGGGAGCCUUGCCCUUAACAAAGUUAGACAAGUUCUUAGGAGGGGCAUUAAGUUUAACAUUGUCUCCCCUUUGGAAUCCAAUGCCAUCCUUGAUGCCAGGGCGUCUCCCAUUAUAGAGCAUACUUCUAGCAAAUUUAAAUUUUUCAUUUUCUAAGUUUUGCUCGGCAAUUUUAGCAUCUAAUAGUGCUAUAUGAUCAUUUUGUUGUUUAAUUAAGACCAUAUGAGCAUGAAUAGCAUCAACAUCAAUAUCUCUACAUCUAGUACAAAUAGAAACACGCUCAACCUUAGAUGUAGAGGGUUUGCAAGAUUUUAAUUCAACAACCUUAGCAUGUAAUACAUCAUUCUCACUUCUAAGGUUGGAAAUAGUAACAUUGCAAACAUCAAAAUCUUUAGCCUUAGCAAUCAAAUUUUCAUUUUCUAUUCUAAGGCUAGCAAGAGAAUCAUUCAAUUCCUUAAUCUUAGCAAGCAAAUCAUCAUUAUCAUUACUAAGAUUGGGAAUUGAGGCAUUACAAACAUGUGAAUCAACCUUAGCAAUCAAUUUAGCAUUUUCACUUCUAAGGUUGGCAAUAGUGUCAUGGCAUGUGCUUAGCUCACUAGAUAAUUUGUCACAUUUUUCUACCUCUAGAGCAUAAGCAUUUUUAACCUUAACAUGUUUUUUGUUUUCCUUAAUAAGGAAGUCUUCUUGAGAGUCCAAGAGAUCAUCCUUCUCAUGAAUAGCACUAAUUAGUUCAUUUAAUUUUUCCUUUUGUUGCAUGUUAAGAUCGGCAAAAAGGGUACGCAAAUUAUUCUCCUCAUCACUAGCAUUAUCAUCACUAGAGGAUUCAUAUUUAGUGGAGGAUUUAGAUUUAACCUUCUUCUUUUUGCCGUCCUUUGCCAUGAGGCACUUGUGGCCGACGUUGGGGAAGAGGAGUCCCUUGGUGACGGCGAUGUUGGCGGCGUCCUCGUCGGAGGAGGACUCGGUGGAGCUCUCGUCGGAGUCCCACUCCCGGCAAACAUGGGCAUCGCCGCCCUUCUUCUUGUAGUACUUCUUCUUUUCUCUCCUCUUUCCCUUCUUGUCGUCGCCCCUGUCACUGUCACUAGAUAUAGGACAUUUUGCAAUAAAAUGACCGGGCUUACCACACUUGUAGCACACUUUCUUGGAGCGGGGUUUGUAGUCCUUCCCCCUCCGUUGCUUGAGGAUUUGGCGAAAGCUUUUGAUGAUUAAAGCCAUCUCCUCAUUGUCGAGCUUGGAGGCGUCAAUUGGUUGUCUACUUGGUGUAGACUCCUCCUUCUUUUCCUCCGUCGCCUUAAAUGCCACCGGUUGCGCCUCGGACGUGGAGGGUUCGUCAAGCUCGUUGAUCUUCUUUGAGCCUUUAAUCAUGCAUUCAAAGCUCACAAAAUUCCCGAUAACUUCCUCGGGAGUCAUUAGUGUGUAUCUAGGAUUACCACGAAUUAAUUGAACUUGAGUAGGGUUAAGGAAAAUAAGUGAUCUCAAAAUAACCUUAACUACUUCGUGGUCAUCCCAUUUCUUGCUCCCGAGGUUGCGCACUUGGUUCACCAAGGUUUUGAGCCGGUUGUACAUAUCUUGUGGCUCCUCCCCUUGGCGAAGACGGAAGCGACCGAGCUCCCCCUCGAUCGUUUCCCGCUUGGUGAUCUUGGUGAGUUCAUCACCCUCGUGCGCGGUCUUGAGUAGGUCCCAAAUCUCCUUUGCAUUCUUCAACCCUUGCACCUUGUUGUAUUCCUCCUUGCUUAGAGAGGCGAGGAGUAUGGUUGUAGCUUGUGAGUUGAAGUGCUCGAUUUAGGCCACUUCGUCCGUAUCAUAGUCUUCAUCCCCUACGGAUGGUACCUGUGCUCCAAACUCAACAACAUUCCAUAUACUUUUGUGGAGUGAGGUUAGAUGAAAUUUCAUUAAAUCACUCCACCUAGCAUAAUCUUCGCCAUCAAAAGUUGGCGGUUUGCCUAAUGGAACGGAAAGUAAAGGAGUAUGUCUAGAUGUACGAGGAUAGUGUAAGGGGAUCUUACUAAACUUCUUGCGCUCUUGGCGCUUAGAAGUUACGGACGGCGCAUCAGAGUCGGAGGUAGAUGUUGAUGAAGUGUCGGUCUCGUAGUAGACCACUUUCCUCAUCCUCUUGUGCUUGUCGCCUUUCCGAUGCGACUUGUGGGAAGAAGAUUUUUCCUUCUUCUCUUUGUGGUGAGAAGAAGAAGAUCUUUUCUCCUUCCGCUUGGAGGAGUUCUUCUUCUUCUCCUUCCUCUUGGUGUGGGACUCUUCCGAUGAAGUGCUCCCUUGGCUCGUAGUGGGCUUGUCGCCGGUCUACAUCUCCCUCUUGGUGUGAUCUCCCGACAUCACUUCGAGCGGUUAGGCUCUAAUGAAGCACUGGGUUCUGAUACCAAUUGAAAGUCGCCUAGAGGGGGGGUGAAUAGGGCGAAACUAAAAUUCUCAAAAAUAAUCACAACUACAAGCCGGGUUAGCGUUAGAAAUAUGAUAGAGUCCGCGAGAGAGGGUGCAAAACAAAUCGCAAGCGAAUAAUGAAGUGAGACACGCGGAUUUGUUUUACCGAGGUUCGGUUCUCUCAAACCUACUCCCCGUUGAGGAGGCCACAAAGGCCGGGUCUCUUUCAACCCUUCCCUCUCUCAAACGGUCCCUCGGACCGAGUGAGCUUCUCUUCUCAAAUCACAUGGGAAUCAAAACUUCCCGCAAGGACCACCACACACUUGGUGUCUCUUGCCUCAAUUACAAGUGAGUGUUUGAUCACAAGAAAGAAUGACAAAGAAAAGAAGCGAUCCAAGUGCAAGAGCUCAAAUGAACACUACAAAUCACUCUCACUAGUCACUAAGGCUUUGUGUGGAGUUGAGAGAGGAUUUGAUCCUUUUUGGUGUGCUUUGCAAUGAAUGAUAGCUCCUGUAUAGUGGUUGGAAGCUGGAAAACUUGGAUACAAUGAAUGGUGAGGUGGUUGGGGUAUUUAUAGCCUCAACCACCAAACUAGCCGUUUGCAGAGGCUGUCUGUUCGAUGGCGCACCGGACAGUCCGGUGCACACCGGACAUGUCCGGUGCGACAGCCACGUCACCAAAAGCCGUUGGGUUCGACCGUUGGAGCUCUGUCUUCUGGGCCCGCCUUGAUGUCCGGUGGCGCACCGGACAUGUACUGUAGAGUGUCCGGUGCGCCAGCAUGGGCGUGCCUGACCUCUGCGCGCGCUGGUGCACAUUUAUUACGUCGCAGGUAGCCGUUGGCGCCUGAAGUAGCCGUUACCCCGCUGUUGCACCGGACAGUCCGGUGUACACCGGACAGUCCGGUGAAUUAUAGCGGAGUGGCCGAAGUGAAUUCUCGAGACUGGCGAGUUCCGGAGGCCGCUCUUCCUUGGAGCACCGGACACUGUCCGGUGUACACCGGACAGUCCGAUGAAUUAUAGCGGAGUCGCCUCUGGAAUUUCCUGAAGGUGAGCAGUUCGGAGUUGGAGUCCUCUGGUGCACCGGACAUGUCCGGUGGCACACCGGACAGUCCGGUGCGCCAGACCAGAGGUGCCUUCGGUUGACCCUUGUUCCUUUGUUUGAACCCAAUACUUGGUCUUUUUAUUGGCUAAGUGUGAACCUUUGGCACCUGUAUAACUUAUAUACUUGAGCAAACUAGUUAGUCUAAAUAUUUGUGUUGGGCAAUUCAACCACCAAAAUUAAUUAGGGACUAGGUGUAAGCCUAAUUCCCUUUCAGAGCCAAAGCCGGAGGUAGCGGCGUCAGCACGGACAGAGGCAGAGUUGGCUCAAAAAGAGGAUUUGGUCGGUCGGAGCCUGGCCGGGUCGUCCACUGGCGGGACCGACGCCGGAGUUGAGUUACCGAGGCCACAAACCGAGCUGAUGUCCUCGGGGGACAGCUGGCUAAGGCUUCGGGGUGACCGGCCCGAGCCAUCUGCUCGAGUCGGAUUCCUGGAGAAGGCCCUGGCAGCGAUGGCCCGGGCGUGGUGCUGAUGUCGUCCUUCAGAGUGGAGAUCCUCCGACCGCGUCGCCGUCUGAGGCUAGGUCGGGCCUCGCCGAAGGUGUAGUUGACACCGAGGGUGCUGCUGCUCCCUUCACUGUCAAGAUCCGAGCCUGCAGGAUCGGAUUAUCUUGUAGUGUGUGUAUGUUUUCCGCGGCCGCCGAGGCCCAAACACACCAUCAUCGUGUUGUAAAGCUGCGUUUCUUUUCCCCUUAUUUCGAGUAUCUGGACUUAUUUAUCGGUAACAGAAUUUGUUUGUGCGAGCGAGAGUUACUUUUCACGGAAGGUGAUGAGUGAGGUAUCCGUAUCUCAGAGGCGUAGGAAUCCCUCGGCUCGGUCGGCCUUGCCGCUUACGCGCACUCUUACUCGUCCAUAGGGUUCUGUCACCGACGUAGUCGAGAAGGCCCGAAAAAUCAUUUCGGCAGAGGAGCUUUCGAGCGUGAAGACUUGUUCGGUCCGCGGAAUCACCUAUCCGAGCGCGAGUUACUUAUCGCAGAAGGUGAUGAGUGAGGUAUCCGUAUCCUGGAGGCGUAGGAGUCCCUCGGCUCGGUCAGCCUUGACUGCUUACGUGUACUCCGUCGUUUUCAGGAUCCACUUUCGGAGUAACCGAAAAGCACGAAAGACAUUCUGGCGGAAAAGAUCUUUUUCCGAGGAAAAUUUUGAUGCAGAGGGGGUUCCCCCCUUUUAGCCCCCGAGGGAGGGUCGGGCUUUGCCGAGGCAAGGCUGACCCUUCCUUGAUGACUAAACUUUGCGUGGGAACGAGGUAUACGAACAACUUGAAAGCAUCUUAAGGGUAGAAGUGACGUAGCUGUUGUAUGUUCCAAGCGUUGUUGUAGACCUCGCCUUGACUGUUGGCCAGCUUGUAUGUUCCGAGCUUCAGAACCUUGGUGACGACGAACGACCCUUCCCAGGGAGGCGUGAGCUUGUGCCGCCCUCGGGCGUCUUGUCGCAGCCGAAGCACCAGGUCGCCCACCUGAAGGUCUCGGGACCGAACCCCUCGGGCGUGGUAGCGUCGCAGGGACUGCUGGUACCGCGUCGAGUGUAGUAAGGCCAUGUCCUGAGCCUCUUCCAGCUGGUCCAGUGAGUCUUCUCGAUUAGCUUGAUUGCUUUGGUCAGCGUAGGCCCUCGUCCUCAGGGAACCGUAUUCUAAGUCUGUGGGCAAGACGGCUUUGGCCCCAUAGACUAGAAAGAACGGUGUGAAGCCCGUGGCUCGGCUCGGCGUUGUCCUCAAACUCCAGACCUCUGAGGGGAGUUCCUUCAUCCAUCGCUUGCCGAACUUGUUGAGGUCGUUGUAGAUCUGCGGCUUGAGUCCUUGCAGGAUCAUGCUGUUGGCACGCUCUACUUGCCCAUUCGUCAUGGGGUGAGCCACGGCGGCCCACUCUACCCGGAUGUGGUGAUCCUCGCAGAAGUCUAGGAACUUUCUGCCGGUGAACUGGGUGCCGUUGUCGGUGAUGAUGGAGUUCGGGACCCCAAAGCUGUGACAGAACCUCCCAAGUAAUUAGGCCCACCUACAGUUGUCCUUGUCCAACGGACAUCAGACAACCCUGUAGGUGCCCCUGAACUACUUGACAAGCUCGGUAUCUUUCCUUACCUUACCAGGAACGUCUCACCCGUCUUGCAGACAUUACAGAACAUCGGAGAUAUGCGGAAGCAGUUACAUAAACUUACAUUUAUUUCAAAAGCAAGCUUGAGUUAUGUUAUUACAGACCAGACUAAACGUGAGUGCAGAGUAGUAAUAUUAUACAAACCAGGGGAGGCACAAACUCCUCCCGAUAAGUUUAACAAAAGAUCCUAAGUGGAGGACCGAAUCCUCCCGCACUUCAGUCUUCUUUUUCCUCGUUUGAUACCACCUUGGAGCAGAAGCAACAAAAGUUUGUCGCUUCCUCACCUAAAAACAACAAAGGGAUAAACCCUGAGUAUGGAAUACUCAGCAAGUCUUACCCGACUAAGGAAAAGACUCUCAAGGGUAUGCUGGAUAAGUAGGAGUCAAGGAGAGGCUUUAGCAAAAAUCAACUUAUAGUUUUGCAGAAGAAGCUUACUAAAGUGAGUCCUUACUUUCCAUCUUUUAAUGCCAUCUUAAGUAUUAAUAGACUCUAUUUGCAUCUAGUCUAAUUUCACAUCCAAUCAAGACAACAUUAGUUUUAUCCAUAGUGUUCACAUCCUGACUGUAGGUUGUAGAAAAGUGACCAAGUCUUCAUAACCGCGAAGGUACGGCGAUCCGAAUCGAUUAUACUCAGCUGAGGAUCUCCAAUCACACGACAUAUGUAGCACUUAACCCUUGCAUAUGUCAACCCGCCACCGGGGUUCUUAAGACCGGAUCAGGUUCACGCAAACCGAGAGCACAGAUACACCACCGUCCAGCCUCUUGCCACGGAGGGUACACGCUACUCUCGCCACCGCUCCACGCCCAUUUCGUGUUAUCUUAUUCCGACCUUAGUCUGCCCGAGGCAAGGCUUACCCAUGACGAGGCAUGUGACCAGUUAAAGGGUCCUCGGUCAGCACGCCUACAUACGCGUUAAUCCUUAACCAACUUGGGUAGAACAUCACCUGUUCCUAACCCAAGUCUCAAUUUAAGUAUUUCCAUCCUUAGGAUUGUGUCUGUUCCUUAGGAUGAAAGAGCAUCACAGGGAACUUUGCAGUAAGAUCCCACUUUUGCUCCAAAUGAAAAUAUUCUUGCAGGUAGAAGCCAUCCUCUCCAUGGUUAAAUUGAGGACAACUUCUAUCCACAAGAUCUAAGCAAGUCUAAGCAUUUUUGUAAAUCAUAUUUUGAUACUUCACAGAAGUAUCUAUAAAGGUAUGGAUAUCAAGGAAAGCAAUGCAUCAAAGGGUUUCAAGUAACUCCUAUGAACCUAAUGCACAUUUCACUAGACUUAAGUGUGCAAAAAGUAUUUAAAAACACAAGGAAAGGGGUGGCAUGCACCGGGGCUUGCCUUCGUUCACAGGUGAAUCAGGCUCAGAUCCACAGAUGUCAAAGUAGAAAUGAUUCCCGGCCUAAGACUCCGAAGGUGGUGGUGUCUCCUCUUCGGUAACUUCGAUUUCUUCCUCACGUUCUAAUCAUAACCAUACAUAUGUAUAAGAAUGGAUGCCAUGGGAUGCUCAUGAGGAUGCAAAGAUAGCAUAAACUUAUUAUUUAUGUCUUGAAUACAACUUUCCUUCACGGAGUUCCGGAGUCGGUAAAGGAGUUCAUAGGGCGGGGGGGGGGGGGGUGUUUUGGGGUUUGGUGAUCAAACAAGGUCCAAAUCAAUUCAAACUCUACCCAAGGCUUCUAAAUAGUGUAUAACACUCAUAUAAAAAUUUUGGGCAUUUUUGGACUUACCAAUUAUUUUCUAAAAAUCUAUAACCAACAUUUUUAACCACUUUAAAUACCCUAAAUUUUCUUACUUCCACUAAAAAUCACAAACUUAUUUUUAUUAAAUACUAUGGAAAAUAACAAACCUAGGAAAAUUAGUCUCAUAUUUUUAGGAUUUUUCUAAAUUUUUCUAUAAUUAUUUUGGCUCUGCUGUAAAAGAAAAAAGGAAAAUAUUCCAACAGUGAUGGGCCAGAUUCAGCCCAGCGGCCCAGUUCCAGAGGGAAAGCGCGCCCGUGCGCCCUGACGGUUUUGCAGAACGACCCCCGCGUUUUUAUCUAACAGCGAACGAGCCCUUUCACUAUUCCUGUGUGUCGCUGACCGAUCACAAAAAGGCCCCUGCGUUUCUUUCUAUUUCCGAUUGGAAGUCCACGACAGCGCUCGCGCACCGCCGUGCUCCGACGAGCAAGCAGAUCGGCCAGAAGGGACAACGGCUAGGGUUUUUGAGCAGCAGACACCAAAUUCAAGUCCUAAGGACUCUUUCCCCCCAAUCAAUUUCAUGCUUGGUGAUCUGCCAAGCUCUACCCGCGAGGACAGUGCACGGCGCGGAUAGGUGUUCGUGUUCCAAUCAAUUCAUGGCAGUUAAAUUCAAUUGGAUGGUUUGGAAAGCAUCAAGGACACACGAGAAUGUUAGAACAAGCAACAGAGCAACAUGAACUGACCUAAUUUGGGCUGGCCACGGUGAGACUUGUUUCACGGUGGCGGAGAGCGAGGUUGGGGGAAAUUCCGAAUUCGAGCAGAUGAGUGGAUGAUUGUGGCUGAUUAGCGGUGGUUAGCUAGCGAACUACCCCACGGAGCUAGACACGGGCUCAAUUUAUAGGAAGGAUGGGCGGUGGGCGCGAAUUUGGACGAGACACGCGGCGGUCGGAGGUGAAGAAGAAGCACUGGCCGCGUGAGUUCGUGGCCAACGGCGUGGCAGUAACUCCGGUGAGCCACGGAGACUUCAGAGGAGGUCACGGCGACACGGUAAAAGAGUUGAGCCACGCGGCGCACGGCCGGGAGGCGGCGGUCGACGGUGAACAUAUCCACAUCCACCGCGGUAAUGAUGGUACGGUGGCCGGAGUUGUUUAAUGGCCGAAGUUUAUCCCCGGCGGUGACCUCCAAGCGUUAUCCACACGGUCCGCACGAAUCACAGCAACGGAUCGACCACCGGCGACGACCUACCAGCGACGAGCCCGCCGCGCUGGCAACCUGAUCCACUCGGGUCUACUAGUACCAUGGCAAUCCUCAUUCAGAGCACCUGACAGCCGGAGUUGAGGGUCGAUUUUCUCCAAAUUUCACUUGGCGACUCACCCAAGUAUCUGCAUCAAAGUUGUAGUGCUACUUACCAACUACAAUUCGACUAUAGGGGCUACACUUAUUUGAGCACUGGAUCAAGGUCAAACUGGCUCUCAAACUUGGGUCUAGGCCACUGUUAGUCUGAAAUUCAGACAAUACUAGCCUGACAGCCUGACUUCAGGCUUAAUUACCUCCAAAAUUUUCUUAACAACUGUGCUCACACCUUUUAGCAAAGUUGUACUCCUAUAGUUGGGCUACAAUCUUGAUGUGGUGACCUAGGGCAAAAACCCUAUAAUUUGAAAGUGACAAAGCCCCAAAGUGGAGCCUUUAACACUAAAUUUCAGACUUGGUAUAGAACUCAAAUGAGGUCCAUUUUGCAUUUAAGUCCAAAACUUAGGGUUUGGCUUGUAAAUUCACAUAUUUGUGAACCAAAUGACUUUAUAUGUCAAAACAUAGUAGUUUUUACACUUUAGUCCAAAGGUUCAUCAUUUUUGCACAUAAGUCCCUAGGGUUUGGUUUUAGGGUUUUCUAGGGUUCCAAUUAGGGUUUCUGGUAUCUCAGGGGUACAAAAGUGAUUCAAGUUUAUUCUUAGGGUCAUUUUAUGACUUUUACCCUAAAGCUUUUUAGGUUUUCUUAACUUGGGUUAAGUUUUACCCCUUUAACCACUAUUUAGGGUUAAGUCCAUUAACCAGGGUUCCAUUUGCAAAAACAUUAAAACAAUACAACUUGUUUGAAAUUUUUGCCUAGUGAAUGCACUCUAGGUGUGUCACACAUAUGCAAUGCCAAUGCUAAUGAUGUCAUGCUCAAGUUUUAUUUAUAGUAACACCAGGGGUGUUACAUCCUUCCCCCCAUAAAAGAAUCUCGUCCCGAGAUUAAAAUCCUAGGGUAGGUAAUGGUAAAGGAAACACAUCACAUUUUUAUUUCCUUAAUUUUGGUACAAGGCAGGGGUAAUGUGGGGGUUACUUCUUUAUUACAACAGCUAUACAGGCUUUACAAUUUACAUGAGGCUAGAAAGCCUGGGAAAUUCUUAUCUAAAAAGUCUUGGGUUUCCCAUGUAGCCUCAUCUUCCGAAUGCUGGUUCCACUGUAUCUUGUAGAACUUAAGAGUCUUUCUUCGGGUGACCCUAUCCUUUUGAUCCAGAACUCGAAUAGGAUGCUCCGAGUAUGUUAAAUCUGGUUCCAGGACAACAUCAGUCACUUCAACGGUUCGAUCGGGAACCCGAAGACACUUCUUCAAUUGUGACACGUGGAACACAUUAUGCACAGUAGACAAGGUUUCGGGGAGCUGAAGUCGGUAUGCCACUGGUUCACAUUGCUCAAGCACCAGGAAUGGACCAAUGUAUCUGGGUGCAAGUUUCCCUUUUACCCCGAAACGCGAUACACCCUUCAUUGGUGAAACUUUUAAGUAGACAUAAUCGUCUACCAGAAAGCAUAAGGGUUGUCGUCGUCGGUCUGCAUAAUUCUUUUGUCGAGUCUGAGCUUUCUUCAUAUUAUGGAUAAUUCUCUGAACCUUUUCUUCGACCUCUUUCACCAUAUCAGGUCUAAAGAAGUAUCUUUCUCCAGGUUCAGACCAAUUUAGCGGAGUUCGACACCGUCGUCCAUAUAAAGCUUCAAAAGGUGCCAUCUUGAUACUUUCUUGAUAACUAUUAUUGUAUGAAAACUCCGCUAGGGGCAAACAUUCAUCCCAUUUUUGCGAGAAGUCCAGGACACAUGCCCGCAGCAUAUCUUCAAGUAUUUGGUUCACCCUCUCAGUCUGCCCACUGGUUUGAGGAUGAUAAGCCGAACUGUGGAGUAAUUUAGUACCCAAGGAGUUGUGAAGUGCUUCCCAGAACUUGGCUACAAAUUGAGGUCCACGAUCCGACACAAUGGUCUUCGGAACACCAUGCAGACUGAGAAUACAGGCAAUGUAUAAUGCUGCAUAAGUGGCUACUGUAUAUGUGACCUUGACAGGUAAGAAGUGGGCAAUCUUUGUGAGUCGAUCAACGAUAACCCAAAUAGAAUCAUACCCUUUGGCUGUCCUGGGCAGUCCCACAAUAAAGUCCAUACUGAUGUCUUCCCAUUUCCAUGUUGGGAUUGGCAAAGAUUGUAAUGGACCAGCAGUUUUCAUGUGUAUGGCCUUGACACGUCUGCAAGUGUCACACUUCGCCACAUAGCGUGCAAUUUCGAUUUUCAUCUUUGUCCACCAAUAAUGUUGCUUUAAGUCUUGAUACAUCUUAGUGCUUCCGGGAUGAAUAGAAUAGCGACUAAGAUGUGCCUCAUCAAGAAUUUGCUGGCGGAGUUCUUCGUUCUUUGGCACUACUAUGCGGUUUUUAAACCAUAUCACACCUUGAUCGUCUUCCUUGAAACACUUGGCUACUCCAGCCUUUAUCUUCUCUCGAAUGUGCUUCAUACCCAGAUUAUCCUUUUGAGCAUCAAUUAUUCUUUGCAAAAUGAUUGACUCAAGCUUUAGUUGAUUUAGAGUCCCUUGUUGGAUGAUCCCUAGGUUUAGCUUUUCCAUUUCUUGACACAAAGUGUUCUCGGAGGUCUUUGCCAUAAGACAGUGGCAGGAAGUCUUACGACUCAAUGCAUCUGCCACCACAUUGGCCUUGCCUGGGUGAUAAUGGAUCUCCAGUUCAUAGUCUUUAAUGAGCUCAAGCCAUCGUCUUUGCCUCAUAUUUAACUCUGACUGGGUGAAGAUGUACUUCAAACUUUUAUGAUCUGUAUAUAUGUGACAGAUAUUUCCCAGCAGAUAGUGACGCCAAAUCUUUAGGGCAUGAACCACAGCAGCUAGCUCCAGAUCAUGAGUUGGAUAGUGCUCCUCAUGUCGGCGCAACUGCCUUGAAGCAUACGCAAUCACUCGGUCCUCUUGCAUCAGUACACAGCCGAGCCCACUGCCAGAUGCAUCACAAUAUACGUCAAAAGGUUUAGUGAUGUCCGGUUGAGCCAAUACCGGAGCAGUGGUCAAUAGUGUCUUCAGUUGCUCAAAGGCUUCAUUACACUUAGAAGACCAAUUGAACUUAAUGUCAUUCUUCAAUAAACUUGUGAUUGGCUUCACAAGCUUAGAGAAAUCUGGUAUGAAUCUGCGAUAAUACCCAGCUAGUCCAAGAAAACUCCGGACUUGGUGAACAGUGGUUGGAGGUUUCCACUCCAGAAUAUCUUUGACCUUGCUAGGAUCUACCGCAAUUCCUUUAGCUGAUAACACGUGCCCCAAAAAUUGAAUUUCUUCCAGCCAGAACGCGCACUUGCUGAACUUGGCAUAUAGUUGGUGUUCCCUUAGGCGCGUCAAUACAAUCCGUAAAUGCUGAGCAUGGUCUUCUUCAUUCUUGGAAUAUAUCAAGAUAUCGUCGAUGAAGACUACCACGAACUUGUCCAAUUCGGGCAUGAACACCGAGUUCAUUAAAUAAGUGAAGUGGGCAGGAGCAUUUGUGAGCCCGAAAGACAUUACCAAGUAUUCAAACAAUCCAUACCGCGUAGUAAACGCGGUUUUCGGUAUAUCCUCGGGCCGAAUACGGAUUUGAUGAUAGCCCGACCUGAGAUCAAUUUUGGAAAAUACCCUCGCCCCAGUCAGCUGAUCAAAUAAGAUGUCGAUCCUUGGAAGAGGGUACUUAUUCUUGAUAGUGACCUCAUUUAGGGGUCGAUAAUCCACGCACAUUCGCAAGGUUUGAUCCUUCUUCUUAACAAAAAUGGCGGGACAACCCCACGGGGACGAGCUUGGCCGGAUGAAUCCCUUAUUCAAUAGAUCUUGUAAUUGAAUCUUUAAUUCCGCCAAUUCAUUAGGGGGCAUACGGUACGACCUUCGGGAGAUGGGAGCCGUACCGGGCUUUAGCUCAAUUACGAAUUCUACAUCUCUUUUAGGGGGCAGUCCAGGCAAAUCUUCCGGAAAUACAUCUGGAAACUCACAUACUACCGGAAUGUUCUUGAUCUCUGGUACAAUGGCUUCAUAGACUCUACCAGAAGUUUUGGCUGGAUUGGUUGCGGGGAGAGUCAAAAGAAUCUCUUCUUGGUUAUAGCUCAACCUGACGGUCCUGAGUUCAGUGUUGAGAAUUGCCUUGUGUUGGGUUAACCAAUUCAUACCCAAGAUUACAUCUAUAUCCUGGCCCUUCAGAACAAUCAUGUUAGCAGGAAAGUUCCGUCCGGCCAUUGUUAUUGGCACUCCAUAGGCCACUUCUUUAGUAUAAAUGUGUCCCCCAGGUGAAUGAAUUUUAAAUCCCUCCUUUGAUUCAUGGUAUGCAAUAUGAUAUUGUUCCACAAACUUCUUGCUAAUAAAUGUAUGUGAAGCACCAGAAUCAAAAAGAAUAAUUGCUGGGUGACUGGCCACGGGAAACGUACCCAUCAUCACCGGCUCUCCUUCCGGUGUAGUAGCCACUUGAGUGUAAUAUAUACGCCCUGUCUUCUUCGUAUUUUUCCCCAUAGCAUUUCCUUUAGGCUGAGCUAAUUUCCCAGAUCCUUGCGAAGCAUUAGAUUGAUUUUGCCUAGGAUAUGGGCAGUCUUUGAUGAAGUGUCCCGACUUGCCGCAAUUAAAACACCCAGUUGAAGAACUAGGCAAGGCAGGAAAUCAAGUGCCUAGGGCACCCGGCUGUUUUGGGGUAGUGGGGGCAUUGUUGGGGCGGAUAAUGAUUGGCUGUUUGAAGGGAAAUGAAGGUGGACGAGAAAAAGGGCGAUUUUGGCUUGAAGGUCGGAUCACAAACCGUGGUUUCUUCGCCUGGCCCUGACUAGGCCUCUCACCACCGAAUCCCUUAUUCUUCCCAGAAUUUGUGUAUUUGGCUUCAACAGAUAAGGCUGUGCUGACAGCCUUUCCAUACGUGAGAUCUAUGCAUGUGGCCAUUUUCCUUUGUAGCCGAUCAUUCAGUCCCCGCAUAAAACAGUUCUUCUUCUUUAAAUCCGUAUUCACCUGGUCAAUGGCAUACUGCGAUAGGUGAUUGAAUUUGUUGAGAUAUUGGUUGACGGUAUCUCCACCUUGUUGUAACUUCAUAAACUCCUCUUGUUUCAUAUGUAGCACUCCUUCGGGGAUGUAGUGUUCACGGAAGGCUGCUUUAAACUCAUCCCAAGUGACUUGAUGGUUGACAGGUUGGAUAGCCACAAAAUUUCCCCACCAGGUACUGGCAGGACCACGGAGUUGUUGUGCGGCGAAUAACGGCUUCUGCGUUUCUGAGCAACGGAGAAGACCAAACUUUUGCUCAAUAACCCGAAUCCACUCGUCAGCUUCUAGGGGAUCUUCUGCCUUGACGAAUAGAGGUGGACGGGUUUCCGAGAAAUCCAGAUAGGUGGUCUCAUGAGGGCCUUGCGGAAAACCCCUUCCUGCUUGCUGCUGGAAUUGCUGCUGACCCGCCAUUUCCCUAAGGAAGCGGGUAUUGUCCGCGGUGGCAUUCACCAAGGCGGCGAUCGCCUCGGCUAACGUGGGAGGAACUGGAGGUGGGUUUGGGGUAACAUCCCGUCCCCCAGAAGUUCCUGCUGCGUCCUGUCCUCGAGUCCUGGUCGGCAUCUGUGGCAAAAACAUUUGAAGUAAACAAAAUGUGCCAGAGAAAACCUUCCAUUAUACAUUACUAUAAAAAGUAAUGAUACAGACUCGAUAUUACAUAACAGGAUACAAUACCCAUUAUACAAAAGUUCAACCUAUUAUACAACAGUACACCCUACAAUACCCUACCAUACACUACUCUACUUCUAUUACACCUUUAUUCCUUCUUGCCAUUACUCUUGGCGGCUUCAUCGUCAGGUGUGGGAGUCCAGACAUCAACCAACCUCAAAGAAGGAGGGGGCUCAAAAAGGUCUAACUCCCCACCCAGCGCACGUCCCGCAACGUGAGAUGGUCCAGCUUCCGCCUCAGCAGGUUGUGCAGGCUCACUUGGGUGUAGUUGUGAGUAUAGUAUAUGGACUUCCUCGUGCAACGUGUUGCAGUAAACCUGCAGGUUAUCAACAGUCGAGCUAAGUUCUUUAACUCGGGCCUGAGCCCUUGUUUCCUUAGCACACAUUAGCAAACGAGACUGUACGGCCCAGUCAAGUGCUAAGUCUCGAUCAGCGAGUUGAUCCUGCAAGUGUCGGAUGUCCCUUCUCAGUUCGUUGAUUCUAUCUCCGUCGGCGACCCAAGCAUCAGUCCUAUGUUGCAGCACCGCUUGAAGUCGACUCACCCGGGCUUCAAGGUCUCCGAUGGGGUCGUUACUUCCACUGCUGCUGCUUUCAUGUCGGGGAGCCAAUUGAUGCCGAGGCACCCCAAUUGGUCCCGUAGACUUGCGUGCCGUUAGCCUGGUGCGUGGCGGCAUCUUUUCUAAGGGGGAAAAUGUUAUUAGUAAGAUUCUUAGCAUGAUGCAUGUAUAAUUACAGAAUCAACCUUAGUCAAUUCAACCUUCUAUAUGUUGCACUCUUCCUAUCUGGUCUUUAAAAUAGACUCUUCAGAAUACUUAGGUAAGAAGAGAAAAGAAUUUUUAGGUAAGACUUUUGAAAAUCCUUUUGAAGAUGCCUCAUAAUAUCUGCAAAGAAGGGCUACGCUCCGAUACCAGCUGUGACAGAACCUCCCAAGUAAUUAGGCCCACCUACAGUUGUCCUUGUCCAACGGACAUCAGACAACCCUGUAGGUGCCCCUGAACUACUUGACAAGCUCGGUAUCUUUCCUUACCUUACCAGGAACGUCUCACCCGUCUUGCAGACAUUACAGAACAUCGGAGAUAUGCGGAAGCAGUUACAUAAACUUACAUUUAUUUCAAAAGCAAGCUUGAGUUAUGUUAUUACAGACCAGACUAAACGUGAGUGCAGAGUAGUAAUAUUAUACAAACCAGGGGAGGCACAAACUCCUCCCGAUAAGUUUAACAAAAGAUCCUAAGUGGAGGACCGAAUCCUCCCGCACUUCAGUCUUCUUUUUCCUCGUUUGAUACCACCUUGGAGCAGAAGCAACAAAAGUUUGUCGCUUCCUCACCUAAAAACAACAAAGGGAUAAACCCUGAGUAUGGAAUACUCAGCAAGUCUUACCCGACUAAGGAAAAGACUCUCAAGGGUAUGCUGGAUAAGUAGGAGUCAAGGAGAGGCUUUAGCAAAAAUCAACUUAUAGUUUUGCAGAAGAAGCUUACUAAAGUGAGUCCUUACUUUCCAUCUUUUAAUGCCAUCUUAAGUAUUAAUAGACUCUAUUUGCAUCUAGUCUAAUUUCACAUCCAAUCAAGACAACAUUAGUUUUAUCCAUAGUGUUCACAUCCUGACUGUAGGUUGUAGAAAAGUGACCAAGUCUUCAUAACCGCGAAGGUACGGCGAUCCGAAUCGAUUAUACUCAGCUGAGGAUCUCCAAUCACACGACAUAUGUAGCACUUAACCCUUGCAUAUGUCAACCCGCCACCGGGGUUCUUAAGACCGGAUCAGGUUCAUGCAAACCGAGAGCACAGAUACACCACCGUCCAGCCUCUUGCCACGGAGGGUACACGCUACUCUCGCCACCGCUCCACGCCCAUUUCGUGUUAUCUUAUUCCGGCCUUAGUCUGCCCGAGGCAAGGCUUACCCAUGACGAGGCAUGUGACCAGUUAAAGGGUCCUCGGUCAGCACGCCUACAUACGCGUUAAUCCUUAACCAACUUGGGUAGAACAUCACCUGUUCCUAACCCAAGUCUCAAUUUAAGUAUUUCCAUCCUUAGGAUUGUGUCUGUUCCUUAGAAUGAAAGAGCAUCACAGGGAACUUUGCAGUAAGAUCCCACUUUUGCUCCAAAUGAAAAUAUUCUUGCAGGUAGAAGCCAUCCUCUCCAUGGUUAAAUUGAGGACAACUUCUAUCCACAAGAUCUAAGCAAGUCUAAGCAUUUUUGUAAAUCAUAUUUUGAUACUUCACAGAAGUAUCUAUAAAGGUAUGGAUAUCAAGGAAAGCAAUGCAUCAAAGGGUUUCAAGUAACUCCUAUGAACCUAAUGCACAUUUCACUAGACUUAAGUGUGCAAAAAGUAUUUAAAAACAUAAGGAAAGGGGUGGCAUGCACCGGGGCUUGCCUUCGUUCACAGGUGAAUCAGGCUCAGAUCCACAGAUGUCAAAGUAGAAAUGAUUCCCGGCCUGAGACUCCGAAGGUGGUGGUGUCUCCUCUUCGGUAACUUCGAUUUCUUCCUCACGUUCUAAUCAUAACCAUACAUAUGUAUAAGAAUGGAUGCCAUGGGAUGCUCAUGAGGAUGCAAAGAUAGCAUAAACUUAUUAUUUAUGUCUUGAAUACAACUUUCCUUCACGGAGUUCCGGGAACUUAGGGUUUCCGGAGUCGGUAAAGGAGUUCAUAGGGCGGGGGGGGGGGGGGGGGGUGUUUUGGGGUUUGGUGAUCAAACAAGGUCCAAAUCAAUUCAAACUCUACCCAAGGCUUCUAAAUAGUGUAUAACACUCAUAUAAAAAUUUUGGGCAUUUUUGGACUUACCAAUUAUUUUCUAAAAAUCUAUAACCAACAUUUUUAACCACUUUAAAUACCCUAAAAUUUCUUACUUCCACUAAAAAUCACAAACUUAUUUUUAUUAAAUACUAUGGAAAAUAACAGACCUAGGAAAAUUAGUCUCAUAUUUUUAGGAUUUUUCUACAUUUUUCUAUAAUUGUUUUGGCUCUGCUGUAAAAGAAAAAAGGAAAAUAUUCCAACAGUGAUGGGCCAGAUUCAGCUCAGCGGCCCAGUUCCAGAGGGAAAGCGCGCCCGCGCGCCCUGACGGUUUUGCAGAACGACCCCCGCGUUUUUAUCUAACAGCGAACGAGCCCUUUCACUAUUCCUGUGUGUCGCUGACCGAUCACAAAAAGGCCCCUGCGUUUCUUUCUAUUUCCGAUUGGAAGUCCACGACGGCGCUCGCGCACCGCCGUGCUCCGACGAGCAAGCAGAUCGGCCAGAAGGGACAACGGCUAGGGUUUUUGAGCAGCAGACACCAAAUUCAAGUCCUAAGGACUCUUUCCCCCCAAUCAAUUUCAUGCUUGGUGAUCUGCCAAGCUCUGCCCGCGAGGACAAUGCACGGCGCGGAUAGGUGUUCGUGUUCCAAUCAAUUCAUGGCAGUUAAAUUCAAUUGGAUGGUUUGGAAAGCAUCAAGGACACACGAGAAUGUUAGAACAAGCAACAGAGCAACAUGAACUGACCUAAUUUGGGCUGGCCACGGUGAGACUUGUUUCACGGUGGCGGAGAGCGAGGUUGGGGGAAAUUCCGAAUUCGAGCAGAUGAGUGGAUGAUUGUGGCUGAUUAGCGGUGGUUAGCUAGCGAACUACCCCACGGAGCUGGACACGGGCUCAAUUUAUAGGAAGGAUGGGCGGUGGUCGCGAAUUUGGACGAGACACGCGGCGGUCGGAGGUGAAGAAGAAGCACUGGCCGCGUGAGUUCGUGGCCAACGGCGUGGCAGUAACUCCGGUGAGCCACGGAGACUUCAGAGGAGGUCACGGCGACACGGUAAAAGAGUUGAGCCACGCGGCGCACGGCCGGGAGGCGGCGGUCGACGGUGAACAUAUCCACAUCCGCCGCGGUAACGAUGGUACGGUGGCCGGAGUUGUUUAAUGGCUGAAGUUUAUCCCCGGCGGUGACCUCCAAGCGUUAUCCACACGGUCCGCACGAAUCACAGCAACGGAUCGACCACCGGCGACGACCUACCAGCGACGAGCCCGCCGCGCUGGCAACCUGAUCCACUCGGGUCUACUGUACCAUGGCAAUCCUCAUUCAGAGCACCUGACAGCCGGAGUUGAGGGUCGAUUUUCUCCAAAUUUCACUUGGCGACUCACCCAAGUAUCUGCAUCAAAGUUGUAGUGCUACUUACCAACUACAAUUCGACUAUAGGGGCUACACUUAUUUGAGCACUGGAUCAAGGUCAAACUGGCUCUCAAACUUGGGUCUAGGCCACUGUUAGUCUGAAAUUCAGACAAUACUAGCCCGACAGCCUGACUUCAGGCUUAAUUACCUCCAAAAUUUUCUUAACAACUGUGCUCACACCUUUUAGCAAAGUUGUACUCCUAUAGUUGGGCUACAAUCUUGAUGUGGUGACCUAGGGCAAAAACCCUAUAAUUUGAAAGUGACAAAGCCCCAAAGUGGAGCCUUUAACACUAAAUUUCAGACUUGGUAUAGAACUCAAAUGAGGUCCAUUUUGCAUUUAAGUCCAAAACUUAGGGUUUGGCUUGUAAAUUCACAUAUUUGUGAACCAAAUGACUUUAUAUGUCAAAACAUAGUAGUUUUUACACUUUAGUCCAAAGGUUCAUCAUUUUUGCACAUAAGUCCCUAGGGUUUGGUUUUAGGGUUUUCUAGGGUUCCAAUUAGGGUUUCUGGUAUCCCAGGGGUACAAAAGUGAUUCAAGUUUAUUCUUAGGGUCAUUUUAUGACUUUUACCCUAAAGCUUUUUAGGUUUUCUUAACUUGGGUUAAGUUUUACCCCUUUAACCACUAUUUAGGGUUAAGUCCAUUAACCAGGGUUCCAUUUGCAAAAACAUUAAAACAAUACAACUUGUUUGAAAUUUUUGCCUAGUGAAUGCACUCUAGGUGUGUCACACAUAUGCAAUGCCAAUGCUUAUGAUGUCAUGCUCAAGUUUUAGUUAUAGUAACACCAGGGGUGUUACAAAAGCGAUGGAUGAUGUUGGUGAAGAACGCCACUGCCUGUUCGGACCUGAUGCUGUUUAGGGGUCGGACCUCGAUCCACUUGGAGAAUUUGUCGAUGGUGACCAACAGGUGCGUGUAGCCCCCGGGUGCCUUCUGCAAGGGGCCGACGAGGUCCAGACCCCACACAGCAAAAGGCCAGGUGAUGGGUAUCGUCUGUAGGGCCUGAGCGGGCAGGUGGGUCUGCCUUGCGUAGAACUGACACCCUUCGCAGGUGCGGACAAUUCUUGUGGCGUCGGCCACCGCCGUCGGCCAGUAGAAACCUUGUCGGAAGGCGUUUCCAACAAGGGCUCGAGGUGCUGCGUGAUGGCCGCAAGCCCCCGAGUGUAUCUCUUGUAGGAGCUCCUCAGACCAAACGGCAUGGUAACAUAGCAGUACAUGCCGAAGGGUGUGAUGAAAGAAUUCGCGAGCUGGUCAGACUCUUUCAUCUUGAUCUGGUGAUACCUCGAGUAGGCAUCGAGGAAAGACAGGGUUUCGCACCCAGUAGUGGAAUCCACGAUUUGAUCGAUGCGAGGCAGAGGGUAGGGAACUUUCGGACAUGCUUUGUUUAGACCAGUGUAGUCUACACACAUCCGCCAUUUCCCUCCUUUCUUUCUCACAAGCAGAGGGUUGGCAAGCCAUUCGGGAUGGAAUACCUCUUUGAUGAACACUGCCGCCAUUAGCUUGUGGAUCUCCUCGCCUAUAGCUCUGCGCUUUUCUUCGUCGAAUCGGCGCAGAGGCUGCUUCACGGGUCGGGCUCCAGCUCGGAUAUCCAGUGAGUGCUCGGCGACAUCCCUCGGUAUGCCGGGCAUGUCCGAGGGACUCCACGCGAAAACGUCGGCGUUUGCGCGGAGAAAGUCGACGAGCACUGCUUCCUAUUUGGGAUCGAGCUCGGAGCCGAUCCGGAUUUGCUUGGAGGCGUCGUUGCUGGGGUCGAGAGGGACGGAUUUAACCGUUUCCGCUGGCUCGAAGUUGUCGGCGUGGCGCUUCACGUCUGGCACCUCCUUAGAGAGGCUCUCCAGGUCGGCGAUGAGGGCCUCGGAUUCGGCGAGGGCCUUGGCGUACUCCACGCACUCCAUGUCGCAUUCGUACGCGUGUCGGUACAUGGGGCCGACGGUGAUGACCCCGUUGGGGCCCGACAUCUUGAGCUUGAGGUAGGUGUAGUUGGGGACGACCAUGAACUUGGCGUAGCAUGGCCUCCCCAGCACUGCGUGGUAGGUUCCUCGAAACCCGACCACCUCGAACGUGAGGGUCUCCCUUCGGAAGUUGGAGGGCGUCCCAAAGCAGACGGGUAGAUCGAGUUGUCCGAGGGGAUGGACGCGUUUCCCGGGGAUGAUCCCAUGAAAAGGCGCAGCGCCUGCCCGGACCGAGGAUAGAUCAAUCCACAGGAGCCCGCGGGUCUCGGCGUAGAUGAUGUUGAGGCUGCUGCCUCCGUCCAUGAGGACCUUGGUGAGCCUGACGUUGCCGAUGACGGGGUCGACAACGAGCGGGUAUUUCCCCGGGCUCGGCACACGGUCAGGAUGGUCGCCCUAGUCGAAGGUGAUGGGCUUGUCGGACCAGUGUAGGUAGACUAGCGCCACCACCUUUACCGAGCAGACCUCCCGACGCUCUUGCUUGCGGUGCCGAGCUGAGGUGUUCGCCACUCGCCCACCAUAGAUCAUGUAGCAGUCGUGGACCUCGGGGAACUCUCCUGCCUUGUGAUCUUCCUUCUUAUCGUCGUCGCGAGCCCUGCCACCCUCUGCGGGUGGCCCGACCUUAUGAAAGUGGCGCCGAAGCAUGGCGCACUCCUCGAGGGUGUGCUUGACGGGCCCCUGAUGAUAGGGGCACGGCUCCUUGAGCAUCUUGUCGAAGAGGUUGGCACCUCCGGGAGGUUUCCGAGGGUUUUUGUACUCGGCGGCGGCGACAAGGUCCGCGUCGGCGGCGUCACGUUUCGCUUGUGACUUCUUCUUGCCUUUCUUCUUGGCUCCGCGCUGGGUUGACGCCUCGGGGACAUCUUCCGGUGGGCGGCCCUGGGGCUGCUUGUCCUUCCGGAAGAUGGCCUCAAUCGCCUCCUGGCCAGAGGCGAACUUGGUGGCGAUGUCCAUCAGCUCGCUCGCCCUAGUGGGGGUCUUGCGACCCAGCUUGCUCACCAGGUCGCGGCAGGUGGUGCCGGCGAGGAACGCGCCGAUGACAUCCGAAUCGGUGAUGUUGGGCAGCUCGGUGCGCUGCUUCGAGAAUCGCCGGAUGUAGUCCCGGAGAGACUCUCCCAGCUGCUGUCAGCAGCUUCGGAGAUUCCAGGAGUUUCCAGGGCGCACGUAUGUGCCCUGGAAGUUGCCGGCGAAGGCUUGGACCAGGUCGUCCCAGUUGGAGAUCUGCCCCGGAGGCAGGUGCUCCAACCAGGCCCGAGCGGUAUCAGAGAGGAACAGGGGGAGGUUGCGGAUGAUGAGGUUGUCAUCGUCCGUUCCACCCAGUUGGCAGGCCAGCCGGUAGUCCGCGAGCCACAGUUCCAGUCUCGUCUCCCCCGAGUACUUUGUGAUAGUAGUCGGGGUUCGGAACCGAGUCAGGAACGGCGCCCGUCGUAUGGCACGGCUGAAAGCCUGUGGACCGGGUGGUUCGGGCGAGGGACUCCAAUCCUCCCCGCUGUCGUAGCGUCCCCCAUGCCUGGGGUGGUAGCCUCGGCGCACCCUCUCGUCGAGGUGGGCCCGACGGUUGCGGUGAUGGUGCUCGUUGCCGAGGCGACCCGGGGCCACAGGCGUUGUGUUGCGCGUGCGCCCGGUGUGGACCGAGGCUUCCCGCAUGAAUCGGGAAGUCGCGACGCGAUGUUCCGAGGGGCGCCCCUGCCUUCGGGAGGCGGAGCUUUCGGCCUGUCGGACCGCGGCGUCCUCCAGGAGAUUCUUGAGCUCUCCCUGGAUACGUCGCCCCUCGGUGGUUGAUGGCUCCGGCAUCGCGCGGAGAAGUAUUGCCGCUGCAGCCAGGUUCUGGCCGACUCCGCUGGAAGUGGGUGGCGGCCUUACCCUGACGUCGUCGGCGAUGCGAUGCUGGAAGCCCUGGGGGAGAUGACGCGCUUCUCCGGGCGGAGGUUGGCCCGUCCAUUCCUGCCCGAGCUCAAGUGUUCCUGCUCCCCCGUCGUCGGCUCAAGUGUUCCUGCUCCCCCGUCGAGCCUGGCCUGCAUCUCGCGGAUUUGCUCAAGCUGUGGGUCAGGACCCCCCGCCGGGACGGGGACCACAGCUAGCUCCCGAAGGAUGUCAACACGAGGUACAGGCCUAGGGAGAUCACCGUUCUCCGACAUACCAAGAUGGUUGCCUUCGUCGGGAUCCCCUAGAUCGAUGUGGAAACAUUCACGACUUGGGCCACAGUCCUCGUUGCCGAGGCUGCGGCUACCGUCGGAACAAUCAGAAAGGCAAUAGUCGCACGCGGUCAUAAAGUCCCGCAUGGCACUGGGGUUACCAAGUCCAGAGAAAUCCCAACAGAAGUCGAGCUCGUCAUCUUCCUCGGACCCCGAGGGCCCGUAGGUCGAGACGACCGUCAGCCGGUCCCAGGGUGACCGCAUACGACACCCCAGAGGGUUUGGACUCGCCUCUAUGAGAGCGUCCACCGAAGCGAAGUCGCUUGGUGGGUCGAGGCUGAAUCCAAAAGGCGCGAGAUGGGAAUCGGUCGGUACCUCUUGGUCGACGGGCGGUGACGAAGUCACGUCAGGGACUGACCGCACCGUCGUCUCAGGUACAAGGGUGACGCCCAGCAAGUCCUUCGCGAGCGUGCUGGCGUCGUCCGUUUGCUUGGGGUUGGCGUGUUGCGGGGAGACGACGCUCGUCUUCGUCUCAGACGCGAGGUCGGUGCUCGACGUGCCCCCCGCUGAGGCGCCGGCGCCGUCAACUCGCUCGACAGCCGACGAGGUGCCGCCUCCUGCUUGGCCUUGGUUGCCCCGCCCCCUCCUCCGUCGGUGGGGGAGGGGACGGGACAAGCCCGAAUGUUGUUCUUCCACCACGCGGGGAAGGCGUCGUCGAUUCCGCCGCCGGCGGGCGGGCUGUCGGCCGCCAUUGUCGCUGUCGCGCGGCGGGGGAAGAAGUAUCAUGUCGUAGCUGCCGUCGUGGGACAUGAACUCAAGACUCCCGAAACGGAGCACCGUCCCGGGCUGGAAAGGUUGCUGGAGACUGCCCAUCUGGAGCUUGACGGGAAGCUGUUCGUCAACACGCAAUAGGCCCCUACCUGGCGCGCCAACUGUCGGUGUUUCGAACCCGGGGGGUCCCUGGACCGAUGAGUAAAUUAUCGCCGCGUGCCCCAGCCCAGAUGGGUCGGCGCGAGACGGAGCGCGAAGGGGGGAAGCAGCCGGAGGGAGACAGGCGUGAGAGGUGAAAUCCCGCGGCCUUCGUGUUUGUCCCGCGCCCAGGUCGGGUGCGCUUGCAGUAGGGGGUUACAAGCGUCCACGCGGGAGGGAGCGAGCGGCCCUGCGCGAGCGCCGUCCCGUCCUUCCCCGCGCGACCAACUGAUAGUCGCCUAGAGGGGGGGGGG